rnacentral:rRNA from 1 species
AUUGAACGCUGGCGGCAUGCCUUACACAUGCAAGUCGAACGGCAGCGGGCCUUCGGGUGCCGGCGAGUGGCGAACGGGUGAGUAAUGCAUCGGAACGUGCCAUUGAGUGGGGGAUAACGUAGCGAAAGUUGCGCUAAUACCGCAUAUUCUGUGAGCAGGAAAGCAGGGGACCGCAAGGCCUUGCGCUCUUUGAGCGGCCGAUGUCAGAUUAGCUAGUUGGUGAGGUAAAGGCUUACCAAGGCGACGAUCUGUAGCGGGUCUGAGAGGAUGAUCCGCCACACUGGAACUGAGACACGGUCCAGACUCCUACGGGAGGCAGCAGUGGGAAAUUUUGGACAAUGGGGGCAACCCUGAUCCAGCCAUGCCGCGUGAGUGAAGAAGGCCUGGUUGUAAGACGUCUGUCAAAGGAAAGAAGUAGUGCGAAUGGCUAAUACCUAG